UCAGCUUUGAAGUCAAGGAUCAGCAGCAAUGUUGAUUGCUUGAUGGAGAUUUUUAGUUCCUAAACUUUGUCUAGGUCACACCCCAAAAGGGAUGAGACUCCUGGGCCAUUAGCUCAGGUGGUUAGAGCGCACCCCUGAUAAGGGUGAGGUCCCUGGUUCAAGUCCAGGAUGGCCCAUUCGGUGUUGGGGGUUUAGCUCAGUUGGUAGAGCGCCUGCUUUGCAAGCAGGAUGUCAGGAGUUCGAGUCUCCUAACCUCCACUGACCGAACUUGAUUCCCAUCUCCAAUUUUUUGGAGUUGAGCUCGAUUGGAGUGUGAUUUAGAUGUGUCCGCUGGAUGACCCCAGCUUCCUGUCAUUCCAAGUUUUAGAUUUUAAGUCUUAAAUUUGGUUGAUAAGAUGCUGGGCUCGGAUCAAAUAAUCAAGCAAUUGAUGAUUUGAUUUGAAGUUCUAGCAGAACCUUGACAACUGCAUAGGUGAAGUCUGGAAAAACAAAGCAUCUUACAGAUGCAUUGUUUUGAAUCUGAUCUUCUGAAAGGGAGAUUGGAUCUAGAACAAUGAAAAUUCUUUUGAGCAAGAGCCGAGACUCUUAAAUGUUCUUUGAUUCGUGUCGAGCGAAUCAGAGUUUGAUCUUGUUUUUAGCAAUAAAAACUUGAGAAUCUGCUUUCAACGGCGGUAAGCGUUUAAGAGGUUAAUUGGUCAAGCUACAAAGGGCUCAC
rnacentral:tRNA from 1 species